AGGAUGUGGGCGCGGCGUACUACGUGUCCCGUGAGCCUCCGCGACGGGGCGGGGCCGCGGCGACGCUAGGAGGCGGAGGCGGAGGCGGAGGUGGAGGUGAAGGCGGAGCUGGAGUUGGAAAGGUGGCCCAAAGUUUUCUCCGAGGCCAAAAGAAGAAAAGACCCACCCACUCUAAAGAAAUUGAGAAUUGGACAAACUAAGAAAAACCUUUAGUUUGUUCCCUUCCAGGCUAACUGUGGGGGCUUGUGGAGGAUGGAUGACUGUGUCCUGAAACAAAAAAAGAAAGCCUUGACAGGAAUCACUUUAAUUUCUUUUGUUUUUGAUGACUAGAUAUAUGCUUCACUAUUGUCAAAGUCCCAACAAGAUAAAGAUGUCUGCUAUUACUACUGGUGUUUAGUAUUUUCCUAGAACUAAUGUAAAAGUAAAGAAAACAAAAUACAAAGGAUGUCAGCAUGA